GCAACGCGACACUAUUGGAGGGGAGCUCAGAGCAGCAGCCGGGAGCAGCCGGGAGCAGCUUGAGCUCCGAACAGUCUUUGCCGACCUGCCCACGAUGUGUCCUGCCAGGUGUGAGCAUCCCAAGUCACGACGUUAGACAAAGAAAAGACACACGAAUGCUGCACUAUGCGCAGAGCCGAGCCGACCAACGUGACGCAGACGUGUCUGAAGGAAAUAUGUCUCCGUGCUGUCAGGAAACACUUCUCUGCUCUGGACUUCCGGGCUGUCCUCGAUCUGCCGGCACCUCUCAUAAGGGAUCUCCUUCCACAUUUGACUGUGUGUCAGCUGGAUGAGCUUCAGCCUGAGCUAAACCAGAGAGGGAUAUCAACUCACUCUGGUUGGGCUGGAAUCCUGCAGGACAUGUAUGGACCUAACUAUGAAGUAGACUUGCACACAGAAGAAAGGGCCAAACAUGAAGUCAUGAGUCGACUUUUCACGCUAGUCUUUUACGGCUUCACAAACCACUUCGUCGAAAGAAACAUCACAAAUUUGAGCACAUCAUCCUUCCUGUGGGCUGCGGCUAAAUGUAUCAAACAUUUUUUACUCAAUGCAAACUUUCACAAGCCCCUUCAAAGGUUAACUGCUGAGCAGCAGCCUCUUCUGAACCUCCUAGAGAAGCAUAUCAGGAGCGUUGCUGUGGUGCAGUCCAUUGAUGUAUCAAAGAGGAAGACACAGACGUCAUUGUACAUUCUCCAUCGGCUGCUGGACCACGGAAUGGCUAAAAAACUAGUCGUAGAUGUGAGGUGUCCGAUCGCACUGGCCUGGCUCCUACAUGGAAGGGGAUCUCAGGAUGCAACUCCUGAGCUGAAGAGCCUCAUGCUCUGCAAGAGGGAAAGCUCUAUAUCACAAGCCGCUGCAGCCAGAGCAGACAUCGCUGGUUGCAGCGCAGGUCGUGAGACCAGAGCUUCAGAAGAUGAGGACGAUCCAGUCAUCCCAUUCAAACGCUCCAUGUUGGAUUCAGCAUCACAGGAGGAGGAAUCUGGAAACUGGAAACCAGGUCCAGAUUUCACUGUGGACCCUCAGGUUCUCUGUCGAACCUUCUCUCCGUGUGAUGAUCACUCGGCAGGGGCCUGUACAUGGGGACAGAUUGACUGUCUCGAGAUCAGGGAGUGUCGGUCCGUCACCCUCAGAGUGCUGAACUCCGCCCUGCCCACUUUUUUCUGUCUUAGGUCUCUUACUCUUCACAGCUCUGUGACCCUCAGGGAGUCUGAUGUGUUGGGCUUAGCCAGAGCCCUGAAGCAGCUGUCUGAGAGCUCCCGCAGCUGCCUCACCUUUCUCAACAUUGGUGUGCUGCCUAACGCCAAGCUCACGGAGAUGCUGCUGGACGCAUGCCCCAAGGUGACGUCCCUGCAUGUGGAGAUCCAGACCAUGAUGUGGGGAACGCUCGUCCAAGCAUAUCAUCCCAGGACUGCAGAGUCAGACAAAGAGCUGCCCCUGGAGAAGCUGACAGUCAAAGUAGGUGAGCUGCAGACAGAUGUACACUUCAUCACAUCUGUGCUGAGACGCUCUCCACAUCUCACCUCACUUCACAUAGCUGGGAUCAGGUUACCAACGGGCUCCUCUCUGAGCCAGCUGCUCACCACCAUCUCAGAGUCCAAUACCUGCCUGAGGAGUCUCAACCUGGAAGACAUGAAGCUGUCUGAUUGUCUCCCUGAGAUCCAUAAUCUACUGAGAGACUGCAAGCUGGAAGAGCUGCGCUGUAAUGAUUGCCGGCUUCAUGAGUGCAGUGACACGGAGCAUUGUUUGCAGCAGCUGGUGGUUGCUCUGAAGACGGUGCCUUCUCUCCACACGCUGAGCCUGGCUCGGAAUCGACUGGCAUGUGGGGGGGGCGGCUGUGGCUCUGGACGUAGAGCCGUUUGUCCACAAACCCGAAGCAAAGAAUGUGUGUGUGCUGGCCGAGCUGUUCUCAGGACCCUCCCCCAGCACAGUGAAAUGGCUCGACAUCAGCUCCAACUUCAUUCGGCCUGCUGAGCUGCUGGAGUUGGCUCACAGACUGAGUUCACAUCGCCCCCCACAGCGACUGGUCCUCGACCUCAGGAGGAACGCUGCACUGAACAAGCUCCGCCCGCUCUGUGCGCUGCUGGUGGGAGUGUGGAAGUCGUCUGACACAAUGGUCGACCACAUCAGCAACAUGUGAACAGGAGGCUGUAAACCGUCAGCACUGUGUAUGCAGGUGGUCUGUUUUAAGUUUUCAGUUCAGGAAAAGCCUCAAUUGCAGCAUGAGCUGCACCAAGCUGCAUGAGUGUCUAGCUAGUACAGUUAUGUAAGAACAUAAGUGUUGUUCCUUCAUAAUUGGUUGUGACAUAUUCCUUAUUUUUGAUGUAUAAUUAUUGAAUGUAUGUGUAAUGUGUGCAUGGAGUGAAAAGAACAGCAUGUUGUGUUAGUUUGACAUUUGAAUCUUUUAUUAAACCAGGGUCCCUUACCCUUCAGAGACUCUU